GAUGUGGCUCAGUGGUAGAGUGCUUGCCUAGUGUGCAUGAGCCCUGGGUUUGAUCCUCAGCAUC
rnacentral:tRNA from 1 species